UGUUCUACACAUUGUUUUUAUAACUGAGAUAAUAUAUCUCACAAUUAACUAAUUACAGUUUUAAAAUUA